CUCUGCCUCAGAGGUCUUCUCAAGCCACUACUGUUCCCAAGGAUGCCUAAUUGCAAUGCCAGCUUCUGGGGUGAACAUGGACCCACUGUCAUCGGGCAAGGUCUAGGAUGGACAUGGAGACCCACCAUCUGGGAGAUUCCAGAGUGGACGUGAACCCACCAUCAUCAGGCAGCUUCAUGGAGUAUUCAGAAGCUGGCGGGUGUCAUCUGGAGGAUGUGACUGGGUACCAGUGCCAGAGCACGUGCCCACUGAGCAGUCUUCUUCACUUUCCUCGAUCCUCAUGAAACAUUCUGGGAUCUUUACCUCAAAGGACUCCAGAGGCUACAUCAUUGUCUUGGAACUGGUCAGUGGCUGGAGCUCUCUCCAGGACAAGUGCUUGGAGGAAGAACCUGGACAAGCUUCCCUCCCCAUACUGUUGACUGGAUCUUGUAUCUACCGUUAGCCACCAUCAUCGCCAUUGUGUGCCUCUUAGGAGCAUUUCCAGGAGGUGAUGCCAGCUGGGGAAAGAGCCUCUGUCCCACAGGACAGCUUCAGGUGGUGAUUCCAGCUCCAGGGUUGCUGCGGUCAACACUGGGUACUUGAGGAGAGGUU
ensembl:lincRNA Mirg miRNA containing gene